GUCUAUGGCCUUAGCCCCCUGAACGCACCUGAUCUUGUCUGAUCCAAGAAGCUGAGCAGGGUUGGGCCAGUUAGUACGGUCUGUGUACUUCUCCGUGGGGAGUGCUGCGGGGCUGUGCGGCC
ensembl:rRNA 5S_rRNA 5S ribosomal RNA